rnacentral:misc_RNA from 1 species
UGGUUCUGGCAUCGAUGAAGAACGCAGCGAAAUGCGAUAAGUAAUGUGAAUUGCAGAAUUCAGUGAAUCAUCGAAUCUUUGAACGCACAUUGCGCCCGCCAGUAUUCUGGCGGGCAUGCCUGUUCGAGCGUCAUUUCAACCCCUCAGGCCCUAGUGCCUGGCGUCGGGGCCUUUCCGUCACCGGAAGCCCCUAGAGACAGUGGCGGACCCGCCGCGGCUCCGAGCGCAGUAGUAACUUUCUCGCUUAGGAGGUCCGUGGCAGGCCCCCGGCCGUAAAACCCCAUACAUCUCAAGGUUGACCUCGGAUCAGGUAGGAAUACCCGCUGA